AGCAGCCGCGGUAAUUCCAGCUCCAAUAGCGUAUAUUAAAGUUGUUGCAGUUAAAAGCUCGUAGUUGAAUUUCGGGGUUAGUAGGUUGGUCAUGCCUCUGGUAUGUACUGGUCUCACUGAUUCCUCCUUCCUGAUGAAUCUUAAUGCCAUUAAUUUGGUGUUUUGGGGAAUUUGGACUGUUACUUUGAAAAAUUAGAGUGUUUAAAGCAAGCUAACGCUUGAAUACAUUAGCAUGGAAUAAUGAAAUAGGACGUUCGAUCCUAUUUUGUUGGUUUCUAGGGUUGACGUAAUGAUUAAUAGGGAUAGUUGGGGGCAUUAGUAUUCAAUUGUCAGAGGUGAAAUUCUUGGAUUUAUUGAAGACUAACUACUGCAAAAGCAUUUGCCAAGGAUGUUUUCAUUAAUCAAGAACGAGAGUUAGGGGAUCGAAGACGAUCAGAUACCGUCGUAGUCUUAACCAUAAACUAUGCCGACUAGGGAUCGGAUGAUGUUAAUUUUUAAUGACUCAUUCGGCAUCUUACGG
rnacentral:rRNA from 1 species